rnacentral:rRNA from 1 species
GAUGAACGCUGGCGGCGUCCCUAAUACAUGCAAGUCGAGCGAACAGACGAGGAGCUUGCUCCUCUGACGUUAGCGGCGGACGGGUGAGUAACACGUGGAUAACCUACCUAUAAGACUGGGAUAACUUCGGGAAACCGGAGCUAAUACCGGAUAAUAUAUUGAACCGCAUGGUUCAAUAGUGAAAGACGGUUUUGCUGUCACUUAUAGAUGGAUCCGCGCCGCAUUAGCUAGUUGGUAAGGUAACGGCUUACCAAGGCAACGAUGCGUAGCCGACCUGAGAGGGUGAUCGGCCACACUGGAACUGAGACACGGUCCAGACUCCUACGGGAGGCAGCAGUAGGGAAUCUUCCGCAAUGGGCGAAGGCCUGACGGAGCAACGCCGCGUGAGUGAUGAAGGUCUUCGGAUCGUAAAACUCUGUUAUUAGGGAAGAACAAAUGUGUAAGUAACUAUGCACGUCUUGACGGUACCUAAUCAGAAAGCCACGGCUAACUACGUG